GAUGAACGCUGGCGGCGUGCCUAAUACAUGCAAGUCGAGCGAACAGACGAGGAGCUUGCUCCUCUCACGUUAGCGGCGGACGGGUGAGUAACACGUGGAUAACCUACCUAUAAGACUGGGAUAACCUCGGGAAACCGGAGCUAAUACCGGAUAAUAUAUUGAACCGCAUGGUUCAAUAGUGAAAGACGGUUUUGCUGUCACUUAUAGAUGGAUCCGCGCCGCAUUAGCUAGUUGGUAAGGUAACGGCUUACCAAGGCAACGAUGCGUAGCCGACCUGAGAGGGUGAUCGGCCACACUGGAACUGAGACACGGUCCAGACUCCUACGGGAGGCAGCAGUAGGGAAUCUUCCGCAAUGGGCGAAAGCCUGACGGAGCAACGCCGCGUGAGUGAUGAAGGUCUUCGGAUCGUAAAACUCUGUUAUUAGGGAAGAACAAAUGUGUAAGUAACUAUGCACGUCUUGACGGUACCUAAUCAGAAAGCCACGGCUAACUACGUG
rnacentral:rRNA from 1 species